AAUGAACGCUGGCGGCAUGCCUAACACAUGCAAGUCGAACGAAGGCUUCGGCCUUAGUGGCGCACGGGUGCGUAACGCGUGGGAAUCUGCCCCUUGGUUCGGAAUAACAGUUAGAAAUGACUGCUAAUACCGGAUGAUGACGUAAGUCCAAAGAUUUAUCGCCGAGGGAUGAGCCCGCGUAGGAUUAGCUAGUUGGUGUGGUAAGAGCGCACCAAGGCGACGAUCCUUAGCUGGUCUGAGAGGAUGAUCAGCCACACUGGGACUGAGACACGGCUCAGACUCCUACGGGAGGCAGCAGUGGGGAAUAUUGGACAAUGGGCGAAAGCCUGAUCCAGCAAUGCCGCGUGAGUGAUGAAGGCCUUAGGGUUGUAAAGCUCUUUUACCCGGGAUGAUAAUGACAGUACCGGGAGAAUAAGCCCCGGCUAACUCCGUG
rnacentral:rRNA from 1 species